rnacentral:tRNA from 2 species
GCCACCGUAGCUCAGAUGGUAGAGCAGUUCACUCGUAAUGAUCAGGUCAGCGGUUCGAUUCCGCUCGGUGGCUCCA